rnacentral:tRNA from 4 species
GGAGCGGUGGCCGAGUGGUCUAAGGCGCACGCCUGGAGAGCGUGUGGGCGCGCAAAACGUGCCUCGUGGGUUCGAAUCCCACCCGCUCCGCCA